rnacentral:rRNA from 1 species
ACGGAGGAUCCAAGCGUUAUCCGGAUUUAUUGGGUUUAAAGGGUGCGUAGGUGGAAGAGUAAGUCAGAGGUGAAAGCUAGCAGCUUAACUGUUAAAUUGCCUUUGAUACUGCUUUUCUUAAGUAUAGUUGGCGUUGGCGGUAUGUGACAUGUAGCGGUGAAAUGCGUAGAUAUGUCACAGAACACCGAUCGCGAAGGCAGCUAACGAAGCUAUCACUGACACUGAUGCACGAAAGCGUGGGGAGCAAACAGGA